GAUGAACGCUGGCGGCGUGCCUAAUACAUGCAAGUCGAGCGAACAGACGAGGAGCUUGCUCCUCUGACGUUAGCGGCGGACGGGUGAGUAACACGUGGAUAACCUACCUAUAAGACUGGGAUAACUUCGGGAAACCGGAGCUAAUACCGGAUAACAUGUUGAACCGCAUGGUUCAACAGUGAAAGACGGUCUUGCUGUCACUUAUAGAUGGAUCCGCGCCGCAUUAGCUAGUUGGUAAGGUAACGGCUUACCAAGGCAACGAUGCGUAGCCGACCUGAGAGGGUGAUCGGCCACACUGGAACUGAGACACGGUCCAGACUCCUACGGGAGGCAGCAGUAGGGAAUCUUGCGCAAUGGGCGAAAGCCUGACGGAGCAACGCCGCGUGAGUGAAGAAGGUCUUCGGAUCGUAAAACUCUGUUAUUAGGGAAGAACAACUGUGGAAGUAACUAUGGACGUCUUGACGGUACCUAAUCAGAAAGCCACGGCUAACUUCGUG
rnacentral:rRNA from 1 species